GGAAGCAUCUUGGCCCCUGCCUUGGGGGCGACACGACCGUCCCCAAACACAGCGAGUCACUGGCCUGGGUCUUUGUGCAGAGGCCCCUCUAGGAGCGGGGAACCAACGAUGGCACGAACAUUGAUUUGAGGAGGAUGCUUCGCAGUUUACGAAAAAAUGAGUGCUAGAGGCGUUCAGAAACGGGAAAGAUCACUUUGUGCUCCUGUGAUCUGAAGGCUGCGUGAAGAAGAUGAGGCUUGGAAAAUAGAGGUUCUGUCAGGUGAGCUGUUGUGCUGUAUGUCUGACCUGAAUUGCCUUUUAGGAGGGAAUCAGUACUUGGAAGCUGGAAUACAUCAGGGAUACCCC
rnacentral:lncRNA from 10 species